rnacentral:tRNA from 1 species
GCCAGCAUAGUGCAGUGGUUUGAGUGUUGGACUACUACUCUGGAGACCUGGGUUUAAUUCCCCACUCUGCCA